rnacentral:rRNA from 1 species
GACAUGCAAGUGGUAGGAAGCCGAAAGGUGACGACCCUUCGGGAGCUUGCACAGGUGCUGCAUGGCUGUCGUCAGCUCGUGUCGUGAGAUGUUCGGUUAAGUCCGCUAACGAGCGCAACCCUCGCUGUGUGUUAUAUGUGUCACACGGGACUGCCGGUCUUAAGCCGGAGGAAGGUGGGGAUGAUGUCAAGUCAGCAUGGCCUUUAUAUCCUGGGCUACACACACGCUACAAUGGCCAACACAAUAGGUUGCUAAGCCGCGAGGUGGCGCCAAUCCAUAAAGUUGGUCUCAGUUCAGAUUGUAGGCUGCAACCCGCCUGCAUGAAGAUGGAGUUGCUAGUAACCGCAGGUCAGCUAUACUGCGGUGAAUACGUUCCCGGGGCUU